UCCUAGUGUUGGACUGGUGCAAUCUUUCAGUCUGCCCUCAAUCUCACACCGGAACACCGGGUGAGAGGUGACCUUUAAUUAGCACCAUGGCUUUUGUUAAUCAGUUAUGAGGGGAACUGUAAUGAGAACCAACCAACAGACAAUCCAAUCGUGUUCGUUAUGCAUCUAAAGGGAAGAAAAUGAACGGAUAAAGGGAAGGACUACCUGGACUUGUCCAAUAACAAAUGCAUAUUUCUGUUUUCUAUUGCCAAAUGUGUUUUGACGGUUGCCACACAACCCAGCUCAUCAUAACAACCCGGAGUGGGAGGUACUCUAUCCGAUUCUAUUACCGCUAAAGAUAGAAGAGGAAGUUGGAACGGAACAUGUUUUUUUCUCCCGUGCUGUAUUUUUAUAUUCCCCGUCUCAUCCUUCAACCUGCUCUUGGGGUCCAUGUAGCGAAGCACUGUGAGGAAUACUAAUUUGAAGAAGAGGGACGGUGAUUGAUAGAAACUCAUAGAGUUCUGACUUGGAGAGGCUUGAGAGAGGCGUGCGCAUGGGGAAGUUUAUUGGAACCCGCGCAGGAUGUCUCAGGUUCGCGCCAAGCGUUUAUUUCGUUAUGAUGAUUGAAGACGUUGCCUCGUCAGAGGAGAGGAUCAACUGCUUGGCUCAACCUCACUCAGUCCCGACAGGACACAGCGGGCCAAGUGCGCACGGAGCUGAAUUCGGCCACCUGCCCGACAACAUUACAGUGCUGGAAGGAGAGAGCAUCAUUCUGAGGUAACUCUUCGAUCCUACACCUGCACCUACUAAUUACAUGUUCAAAUUGUUGUUUUUUUCCCUC
rnacentral:lncRNA from 1 species